rnacentral:ncRNA from 2 species
AUCUAUACGUAUAGUUUCACUCAUAUAAUAGCAGGGAUAUGGCCUGCGAGUUUCUACCGGAUUACCGUAAAUAAUCCGACUAUGGGUGGGUAAUAUCUCUGC